rnacentral:rRNA from 1 species
UACGUAGGGUGCGAGCGUUGUCCGGAUUUACUGGGCGUAAAGAGCUCGUAGGUGGUUUGUCGCGUUGUUCGUGAAAACUCACAGCUCAACUGUGGGCGUGCGGGCGAUACGGGCAGACUGGAGUACUGCAGGGGAGACUGGAAUUCCUGGUGUAGCGGUGGAAUGCGCAGAUAUCAGGAGGAACACCGGUGGCGAAGGCGGGUCUCUGGGCCGAUACUGACGCUGAGGAGCGAAAGCGUGGGGAGCGAACAGG